rnacentral:rRNA from 1 species
UACGUAGGGUGCAAGCGUUAAUCGGAAUUACUGGGCGUAAAGCGUGCGCAGGCGGUUUUGUAAGUCUGACGUGAAAUCCCCGGGCUCAACCUGGGAAUUGCGUUGGAGACUGCAAGGCUAGAAUCUGGCAGAGGGGGGUAGAAUUCCACGUGUAGCAGUGAAAUGCGUAGAGAUGUGGAGGAACACCGAUGGCGAAGGGCAGCCCCCUGGGUCAAGA